rnacentral:lncRNA from 1 species
ACUAAAUGGUACAAGACACCUUCUUGGUUAGCAAUAUUCAGUGCUAAUCCAGUAUAAGCAGUAAAGUAGACAUUGGCAAUGCCAUCCCUCUAUCCCAACAAAAAAGCCGAAGUAUUAUUUAUAAGCUUCCAUUGGUAGGCUUAAAAUACAAAAAUAAAUUCAUUAAAAAUCUGAAAACAUGUCUGAGUACAAAUCAUUAGAGACUUGAGCAAUUUACAAACUAGUAUCAGAAUAAGAUUAGUGUUUUUCUCAUCAUACAACAUAAAAAAUAUCACAACUUUGGUGUGUGAAACUUCCCAUCCAGCCACAAUGCAGUCCAUAUAAAAAUUUAGCGUUUAUAUCAUCCCUUCGGCCGAACAAAGAAGUAACUGCUGAGGAUUGCUUUAUAUUUUUAUGGGGUCGAGUUACUUCCAUUCGAUCAAAAUGAUCAGAUCAACUGACUUCACAACCAUAGUCGAAGAACGACGUCUCUGAGGGUAUGGUUGAAUAACUAAUCUGGAUCAGGCUAUUCAGAGAUCAGGUUUUGUCGAAGGGGACCGAGUGCAGUCAAAGUUAAAUAUAUCGUUAAAUUUGCAUAUAAUGAAUUACACUUUUUACUAUUGUCAAGUAUAAUUGAAUUUAUUUAAUUGAAAUAAGUAUGAGACGUUUCAAAAUAUAACACCGGACUCUAAGUAAAGACGGGACUCUUCUGUAAACAAGUAGUGGCAAUACCUGGAAUUUAGCCCCCGUUUGGCUCUCAUUACAUUAAGUUUCAUUAUAUUCUAUUUUUCUCUCUCCUAUUUUCAAUCACACAAUCUUUCAUAAAAUAAUAUUACAUGUAAAUAAAAAAAAAUUUCAUUCUUUUUUCAACCACUCAUUUUUAAAAAAAAACACUAUUCCAUCCAUUUUUCUCUCUAAAAAAUGGGGGCCAAACGGGGGCUAGUAACUAUAAAUCUAAGAGAGACCAAUCAAACCAUGCCAAGUCCAUGCUCCAAAACCUAGUUUUUAUAAAACCAAGACAAGAAUAUCACAACAAAAUAUCGUAUUUCUGCUGCAAGUUGAAUGGUAGGUAAAUAGCACUUAAAUGCAAAAUUAUCUAAUAUCUUAUUUAUUUAUGACCGUAUGGUCAGGAUGGCCGAGUGGUCUAAGGCGCCAGACUCAAGUUCUGGUCCUCGUGAGAGGGCGUGGGUUCAAAUCCCACUUCUGACAAAAAGAUAAUUCUUUCGCUUUUUUUACUCAUAUCUUUGGACUCGUAAUGUGCUAACAUUUUUCUUCUUCUUUUUCGUUUUUUUUUUUAAAUUAUUAUUAUUAUUUUUAUCAUUUGACACAUUUAUCGAACAAAAGUAACAUUAAUGGUAUAGGUCAUGUCCACUGAAAAAUUUCUAAACAACGUUUACAUGAUAUAUUUUCACAUAACUAAAUGGUACAAGACACCUUCUUGGUUAGCAAUAUUCAGUGCUAAUCCAGUAUAAGCAGUAAAGUAGACAUUGGCAAUGCCAUCCCUCUAUCCCAACAAAAAAGCCGAAGUAUUAUUUAUAAGCUUCCAUUGGUAGGCUUAAAAUACAAAAAUAAAUUCAUUAAAAAUCUGAAAACACGUCUGAGUGCAAAUCAUUAGAGACUUGAGCAAUUUACAAACUAGUAUCAGAAUAAGAUUAGUGUUUUUCUCAUCAUACAACAUAAAAAAUAUCACAACUUUGGUGUGUGAAACUUCCCAUCCAGCCACAAUGCAGUCCAUAUAAAAAUUUAGCGUUUAUAUCAUCCCUUCGGCCGAACAAAGAAGUAACUGUUGAGGAUUGCUUUAUAUUUUUAUGGGGUCGAGUUACUUCCAUUCGAUCAAAAUGAUCAGAUCAACUGACUUCACAACCAUAGUCGAAGAACGACGUCUCUGAGGGUAUGGUUGAAUAACUAAUCUGGAUCAGGCUAUUCAGAGAUCAGGUUUUGUCGAAGGGGACAACUCAGUUUGGAUUCGAAUGAGAAAUGAGAAAUAAGAUUUUAUUUCAUCAAAUCUAAGAAUACAAAGCCAUUCCACAGGCUAUGCAAGAGAAUGGAUGGUAAUAGAUUCCUUGAUCUUGCAUAAGUU